rnacentral:misc_RNA from 1 species
AACGCACAUUGCGCCCCUUGGUUUUCCAUGGGGCAUGCCUGUUCGAGCGUCAUUUGUACCCUCAAGCUUUGCUUGGUGUUGGGUGUUUGUCCCGCGUAUUUUUUGCGCAGACUCGCCUUAAAUCAAUUGGCAGCCGGCAUGUUAGCUUGGAGCGCAGCACAUUUUGCGUCCCUUGUUGGCUUUGUUGGCCCCCAUCAAGUCUAUAUAUUUGCUCUUGACCUCGGAUCAGGUAGGGAUACCCGCUGAACUUAA